GAUGAACGCUGGCGGCGUGCUUAACACAUGCAAGUCGAACGGGAAACCUUUUAAUGAAGCUUCGGCAGAUUUAGCUGGUUUCUAGUGGCGGACGGGUGAGUAACGCGUGGGUAACCUGCCUUAUACAGGGGGAUAACAGUCAGAAAUGACUGCUAAUACCGCAUAAGCGCACAGGACCGCAUGGUCCGGUGUGAAAAACUCCGGUGGUAUAAGAUGGACCCGCGUUGGAUUAGCUUGUUGGUGGGGUAACGGCUCACCAAGGCGACGAUCCAUAGCCGGCCUGAGAGGGUGAACGGACACAUUGGGACUGAGACACGGCCCAGACUCCUACGGGAGGCAGCAGUGGGGAAUAUUGCACAAUGGGGGAAACCCUGAUGCAGCGACGCCGCGUGAAGGAAGAAGUAUCUCGGUAUGUAAACUUCUAUCAGCAGGGAAGAUAGUGACGGUACCUGACUAAGAAGCCCCGGCUAACUACGUG
rnacentral:rRNA from 1 species